GACGAACGCUGGCGGCGUGCUUAACACAUGCAAGUCGAACGGAAAGGCCCUGCUUUUGUGGGGUGCUCGAGUGGCGAACGGGUGAGUAACACGUGAGUAACCUGCCCUUGACUUUGGGAUAACUUCAGGAAACUGGGGCUAAUACCGGAUAGGAGCUCCUGCUGCAUGGUGGGGGUUGGAAAGUUUCGGCGGUUGGGGAUGGUCUCGCGGCUUAUCAGCUUGUUGGUGGGGUAGUGGCUUACCAAGGCUUUGCCGGGUAGCCGGCCUGAGAGGGUGACCGGCCACAUUGGGACUGAGAUACGGCCCAGACUCCUACGUGAGGCAGCAGUGGGGAAUAUUGCACAAUGGGCGGAAGCCUGAUGCAGCAACUCCGCGUGCGGGAUGACGGCCUUCGGGUUGUAAACCGCUUUCGCCUGUGACGAAGCGUGAGUGACGGUAAUGGGUAAAGAAGCACCGGCUAACUACGUG
rnacentral:rRNA from 1 species